rnacentral:rRNA from 1 species
AGAGUUUGAUCAUGGCUCAGGAUGAACGCUGGCGGCGUGCCUAACACAUGCAAGUCGAGCGAUUCUCUUCGGAGAAGAGCGGCGGACGGGUGAGUAACGCGUGGGUAACCUGCCCUGUACACACGGAUAACAUACCGAAAGGUAUGCUAAUACGAGAUAAUAUGCUUUUAUCGCAUGGUAGAAGUAUCAAAGCUCCGGCGGUACAGGAUGGACCCGCGUCUGAUUAGCUAGUUGGUAAGGUAGCGGCUUACCAAGGCGACGAUCAGUAGCCGACCUGAGAGGGUGAUCGGCCACAUUGGAACUGAGACACGGUCCAAACUCCUACGGGAGGCAGCAGUGGGGAAUAUUGCACAAUGGGCGAAAGCCUGAUGCAGCAACGCCGCGUGAGCGAUGAAGGCCUUCGGGUCGUAAAGCUCUGUCCUCAAGGAAGAUAAUGACGGUACUUGAGGAGGAAGCCCCGGCUAACUACGUG